CUUACGAAAUAUUAAAGAAUGCUUGAUUGUGUUCAGCAUUCUAAUCGAUAAGAUCUUUUCAUACGGAGAGAAAACAGUUUUUUUAAAUAAAAAGCUGUAAUUCUCUGUAAGCUAUUUAAUUUCCCUAUAUUACAAACAAUUUACUGUUAAAAGAUAUUAUGAGCGUACAAUUGUAUAAAAUUUCGAAUAACUCCUUUAGAUUAAACCUUUAAAAAAGCGCACUUAUUAACAUUAGAUCGACAAAGUUAUCUAAGUCUACAUAAUCAAAUCAUUCAAUCUCAAUUAACACGUUAAGUGCGAAACGAGGCCUAAAUCACCCCUCAUGCAACUUCCUUGUGGUGCGGCAAGGAAAAACGUGAACAUCUCUGUCGUGCGAAGGGCAUAGCUUUGGUUUGGUCCAGUAUAGAAAAGAGAUAAAUGUAUAUUUGAGACGCGCUAAUGGUCCCGGACUAGGUGGUAUACCUACCUUGGUACCGGAUGUCUUAGGCCUCGUACCGCACUGAAUUAAUAUAAUUUUAAUGCAGUGCAGAACGAGGCUAAAACGUCCCAUAUCCCCAAUACCGUCUUUACCAUAAGGGCACACGGGGCCCGUGCCCAGGGCCCCCAUUCUCAGGGGGCCCCGAAGUACCAACAAUUUGGUUACCAAUUGUAGUCGAGAGCGGUCAUUUUCGCAGCCUACGAGAAUAUAAAAUGAAUUGCGAACAACAAUGUUACAAGAACGGCUGAGUAAUUAGUCAACUAUGGGCAUAGAAAGUGAUAUCCUUAAAAAAAAUUACUUUAAAGAUAUAAUGGAAUAUUUUGCGCAACAGAAAUCCCGAAAGAAACCAUUAUCGUAACCGUAACCAAAAAACCAGCAGCAGGUUUAUUAUAUCAUACUGUAUUUGAUUACCUAUUAUAAAUGGUCAUACUCAGUAAAAAAAUGUAAUUAUAAUUCGCUUUUUUUACUUUCCAAAAGGGCCUCAAAUUCUUGUGUGCCCAAGGGCCCCAGCCUAGUUUAAGACGUCCCUGCAUAUCCCCCCGGAUCUCGUACCGCACCCAACGCGAGCUUCCCGCGACUAGUGUUGUGCAUCACGUCGAUUGGAGAGCACGUCCUUUUACAUCGCCGAACAUGUCUAAACGAUGUCGGAAUAAGUUAAUUUAAAAAACCCAGAAACAGAACCAAAACAGGUAAGUUUUUUAAUUGAUAUUUUUGUAGGUAGUGAAAAACUCCACAAAAAACGCAAAGCAGCCGUUGACAAAACAGCCAUCUUUUAUAAAGGAUUACAGUGUUUAGUCCACCGAGAAGUGAUGUUCAACUAACCAAUCGGCCAAUAUUGCCCAUUGAAAAUUUGUUUGACGACGAGAGUGAUGAAGAGAUUUUCCCAACAAAUAAACGUCAAAAAACAUAUUUUUCUACUGAAUCAAAUAUAACUGAAAAAAUCGUACCUUUACAAGAAUUUAGCUCACAAGAAUGUGUCAUGAAUAAACAACAGUCUGACAAUAUAAAACAAAAUAUUGUCUUAUAUGGGCACCCAAACUCUAUAUUUAUUGCAAAUACAAGAACAUUACAACACAAAGCAAAAACACGUGCUCAGACUGCCACUAAUAAUUUUUCAAUUUACCUUGAUCAAGUGAAAGAACCAGAAGAAACAGUUAAACUGAGUCCAAGCAUCCGAAAAACUAUUCAACUCAAAAAACAAGAAGAAACAGUGUAUCUCAGUCCUAGUACCGGAAAAACUUGUCAAAUAUUGCAGAAUGUUCGCUUGUCCGCUUCUAGUGCUCCAACCUCACCAAGGCAUUUUAUAAAAAAACAAAAUCCUAUAGGUUCCCCUUCAAUAGAUUUUCCUCAUAUAACUACGGAGAGCAGAGCUGGAUCUUUGUCAGAAAUCUCACGCUCCAAUUUACUGGAUUGUGAUAUAUCACUUAGUGAGGACCACAUUCAACAAUUACUUCGUACACCGACACAAAAAAGACCGAGAGAAAAUGUUACAUCCGAAUGUACAUAUUCCAAAGACUGUAAUCCGUCCAAAACUAAAAAAAGUAAUGAAAUAGAGGUCUCUGUAAUUAUAGAAAGUAUUCCUGAUGACAAUGUUAAAGGAAAACGAGAUAUGAAUAACAAAUUGCCAACUGUUCUAAAAUAAUCUGAUAUUCUCGAAUAUGAUAUUAUUGAACAUAUAGACUGCGAAAACAAUAAUAUAAUACAAACAAACGAAAUACGUCACAGUGUGCAGAAUAUUCGAAAAUCUCCUGAGUUGGAUGAGAGUAAUAAUAUGGAAGAUGAUAAUUUUAGCGGUACUGACAAUGAUUAUAGUCCUUCGGAGGAAGAGUCUAGUAACCCGGAAGAGUAUGAUUCAAUGGAAAAUUGCGUUCAUUCAGAUCAGGAUUUAUCUCCAGAUAGUGAAAAUGAAGAAGCUACAGAAGAUGAAAUUUUAGUCACGGAAGAAACAUUACCCGGUGCGCAAGAAAUAUUACCCGGCACGCAAGCUAAAGAUCACGAUGAGUGGGAAAAUAUAUCGGAAAGUCCCAUAACUUUUAAUGAAUUCGAUGGAGAAUGUUCUUUUAAUUUACCCCCGUUUGUGGGAGUUACACCUGAAGAUAUAUACAAGAUGUUUGUUACAGAUGAGAUGAUUGAUAUAAUGGUAUAUGAAACAAAUGCUUACGCACAAAAAUAUAUACAAAUAAAUCAACAAAAUAUGAAACGUAAUUCACGCAUGACAAAAUGGAGUGACACCAGUUCUCAGGAAAUGAGAACAUUUUUGGCUGUUUUAAUGGCAAUGAGAUUGUGUAGAGUUCCUAAUUUGUAUCGAAACGAAUUUAUUUCUACAGUAAUGACAAGAGACAGAUUUUUACUGCUACUUAAAUGCUGGCAUGUCAGUGAUGUAAGUAAUGAAGACAAAACUGACAAACUAUAUAAAAUUAGAGAUAUGUUCACAAAGAUUACAGAAAAUUUUCGACGUAUUGCAAAACCUGAUAAGUAUGUGGUAAUCGAUGAAACCAUGAUACCAUGGAGAGGAAGACUAGGUUUUCGCCAAUAUAUAAAAAACAAAUCGCACCGAUACGGCUUAAAGCUUUAUAAGCUUUGCACUCCCGAAGGUUAUACUUAUGAGUUAGAGGUUUAUACAGGGAAAAAAAUCAGAAAAAAGAAUUAGAACACAGUAAAAAAGUAGUGUUAAUAUUGAUGACAAAUCUAACAGAAAUGGGAAGAAUCGUAAUAGUAGACAAUUAUUACACUUCGUUAGGGCUGGCAGAAGAUCUUCUAUCACAAAAACAUUUAUAUGCGGAACACUUAAUAAAACACGGAAAUAUCUGCCUAAGCAAGUUACUAGUUACAAAUUGCAGAAAGGCGUAAUUAUUGGAAAAAUGAACAAAAAGGGCGUAACGGUAAUGAAAUGGAUGGAUAAACGGAAUGUUUUAAUGUUGACGACGUGCAAAGAUCACGAUGAUAACCUGAUAGAUACUGGAAAAAAGAAGAGAGGAACCGAUGAAUGCAUAAAAAAACCAGGAUGUGUUCUGCUGUACAAUAAAACAAAAAAAGGCAUUGACUUUUCUGACCAGAUGUCAUCUUAUUAUACAGUUGAAGAGAGGAAUCAAAUGGUGGAGAAAAGUUGUAAUGGAGCUAAUAUUCGGUACAGCGCUAAUUAAUGCCUGGAUUGUGUUUAAUUCAAUCCAAAAAAAGUUACCGAAAAGACUCUUUGUGGAGAAACUUAUAGAAUCUUUUAUAAAAAAGGAAAUCGAUAAGAUCCCAGCACCUGAAAGCAGCGCACGUCAUUGCCUUGAAAAGGGUGAAAAAAGAAGAUGUGUUGGUUGUUACCAGAAACUACGCACAUUUUUACCAUCUCGUGAAGCUGACAAAAAAUCCAAAAAGGUUUUGACUCAGUGCUCUCAGUGCAAAAAAUCUUAUUGUCUACCCUGUUUCAAUGAAAAACACUCAAAAAUACAUAUUGAGAUUUUUUAUAAAAAAGUAUAUUGUUACUGAUUUUUUUAUGUUAAUUCAAGUUCUAAUAAGUGUAUUUUUAAAGCCCGAGGCAGAAUAAAUAGGAUAGUUUCUUUUCUACUUCUGGUUUUCUUUUUUCCUAUUCUGUGAACCGCAUUAAGACUUUUACACAAAAAUAGAUAAACGUCGUUGCGUCGAUAUUAUUUUUCUCAUCACUAAUCUUAGCGAAAAUUUACUCUAUUUCAGUGCGUUACGAGGUGUAUAAAAUCCCAUAUUUUGUUUUGCCAAUAAUUAAUAAACUAGCUAUGAGAUCCCGGGGCGACGGUAAAUUUUUUUUUUUUUUUUUUGGUCAGGAGGAAAUCGCCGGACUUCCGCCCUCCCCUGGGAACGGCGGGCGGAGCAUGUCGGAGUCGAACCGACUAAAACCUCCUGUCGCUCAACAACCAACGUCCAAACCUCACAUGAGACAGAACUCAUGAAAAGGCAAAGGGGGGAAAGUGAAGUGUUUAGUGCGGAGCACAUC